AUGGACGACGUUCACUGCUACCUAUGUGUUAUAAAUGCCAGAAAACUAUGUGUUCAAGUGCUCGACUCGCUAGGCCCAUCAAUGAAUCGCAAGGACCUCACUGAUACGCUAGAAGGACCGGAGGAUUUAUUCAAAUAUGCAUCCGAGCACAUGGAAUUAAAAUCCAAUAAGUGGACUGAUCUAAGUGUUACAACAUGGAAAAGAGAAGAAUAUAUUAAGAGCAGUCUUCAGACGGAUGGGUACGCCUCCUAA
rnacentral:rRNA from 1 species